rnacentral:misc_RNA from 1 species
GUACCCUCAAGCUCUGCUUGGUGUUGGGUGUUUGUUCCGCCUUUGCGUGUGAACUCGCCUUAAAACAAUUGGCAGCCGGCGUACUUGCUUCGGAGCGCAGCACAUUUUGCGUUCAGAUCAAUGUACUCUAGCAUCCAAGAAGCCUUAUUUAACGC